rnacentral:rRNA from 1 species
UACGUAGGGGGCAAGCGUUGUCCGGAUUUAUUGGGCGUAAAGCGCUCGCAGGUGGUCCGUUGCGUCGUGCGUGAAAGACCCCGGCUCAACUGGGGAGUGUCGUGCGAUACGGGCGGACUGGAGGCCAGUAGGGGGAUGCGGAAUUCCGGGUGUAGUGGUGGAAUGCGUAGAGAUCCGGAGGAACACCAGCGGCGAAGGCGGCAUCCUGGACUGGUCCUGACACUCAGGAGC